rnacentral:rRNA from 1 species
AUUGAACGCUGGCGGCAUGCUUUACACAUGCAAGUCGAACGGCAGCGCGGGCUUCGGCCUGGCGGCGAGUGGCGAACGGGUGAGUAAUGCAUCGGAACGUGCCCAGUAGUGGGGGAUAGCCCGGCGAAAGCCGGACUAAUACCGCAUACGACCUGAGGGUGAAAGCGGGGGACCGAAAGGCCUCGCGCUAUUGGAGCGGCCGAUGGCGGAUUAGCUAGUUGGUGGGGUAAAGGCUUACCAAGGCGACGAUCCGUAGCUGGUCUGAGAGGACGACCAGCCACACUGGGACUGAGACACGGCCCAGACUCCUACGGGAGGCAGCAGUGGGGAAUUUUGGGCAAUGGGGGCAAGCCUGAUCCAGCCAUGCCGCGUGAGGGAAGAAGGCCUUCGGGUUGUAAACCGCUUUUGUUCGGGAAGAAAUCCUGUGGGCUAAUACCCCGAGGGGAUGACGGUACCGGAAGAAUAAGCACCGGCUAACUACGUG